rnacentral:rRNA from 1 species
AUAACGGUCCUAAGGUAGCGAAAUUCCUUGUCAGGUAAGUUCUGACCCGCACGAAAGGUGUAACGAUCUGGGCACUGUCUCAACAACCCGCCCGGCGAAAUUGUAGUACCGGUGAAGAUGCCGGUUACCCGCGACUAGACGGAAAGACCCCAUGGAGCUUUACUGUAGCCUAAUAUUGGAUUUCGGUAUUUCACGUACAGGAUAGGUGGGAGACUGGGAAGCACAGGCGUCAGCUUGUGUGGAGUCGACCUUGGGAUACCACUCUUGGAGUGCUGGAAUUCUAACCUGCGGCUUUGAAACAAGUCGGGGGACAUUGUUAGGUGGGCAGUUUGACUGGGGCGGUCGCCUCCUAAAGAGUAACGGAGGCGCUCAAAGGUUCGCUCUGCAUGGAUGGAAACCAUGCGUCAGAGUGUAAACGCAAAAGCGAGCCUAACUGCGAGAAUGACGGUUCGAGCAGUAACGAAAGUUGGAGUUAGUGAUCCGGCGGUAUGUGAAUGGAAAUGCCGUCGCUCAACGGAUAAAAGCUACCCUGGGGAUAACAGGCUGAUCUCCCCCAAGAGUCCACAUCGACGGGGAGGUUUGGCACCUCGAUGUCGGCUCAUCGCAUCCUGGGGCUGAAUUCGGUCCCAAGGGUUUGGCUGUUCGCCAAUUAAAGCGGUACGCGAGCUGGGUUCAGAACGUCGUGAGACAGUUCGGUCCCUAUCUGUCGUGGGCGCAGGAUAUUUGAGGAGAGCUGUCCCUAGUACGAGAGGACCGGGAUGGACGCACCUCUGGUGCACCAGUUGUCACGCCAGUGGCACAGCUGGGCAGCUAUGUGCGGAACGGAUAAACGCUGAAGGCAUCUAAGCGUGAAGCCGCCCUUAAGAUAAGAUAUCCCUUCUGUUUACAGAGUAAGACCCCUUGAAGACUACAAGGUUGAUAGGCUCAAAGUGUAAGCACGGUGACGUGUUUAGCUAGCGAGUACUAAUCGGUCGAGGGCUUAACCUU